AACACAAAACCUAGGUGGGAAAAUUGAAGAAAAAAGUGUGGGAUUUCAAAGGAUCAAGCAAUCAAAGGUAAAAUUUCUUGAUUUUGACUUGUGAUCUACCUUUCUCAUGCAUUUCUCCUUAUUUUCCAUGGUUAAAUUUCAUGUUGUCAUGGUGAAUUCAUGGCUGACCAAAUGGGUAUGGAGAGAGAAUGAAGUUAGAUUGAUUUGAUUCUAAGUUAUGUUAGUGUUUUUAGUUAGUUUAUCAUGUCUAGAAAUAAAACAACAAGAAAAGAAUUUAUUUUUCCCAUCAUCCAUCAAUGGCCGAAUUUUCUAGAGAGAAUAUUGUGGCUGAAUUUGAUGAUAUUUCAUGAUAUUUUUGGUGAUAUUUGAUGUUUGGUGAGGCUAGAAAAUUAAAUGGGAAAUUUUGGUGUGAAAAUCUGAAUUUUUGCUCAACAUAUAAACAUGUGUGAUUAUUGACCCGGGACUGAUAAAUUGAACCUCAUUCACAGUCACUGAGGUAAUUUAGGUAUAAUUGGAGUGUAGAAAGUAAAAAGAAUUGAUUUGGAGUUAAAUUGGAGAUUUUAGCAGAUUAGACCGAGUAUAGUGUGACUUAGGUCGAAUAUUACAUUUAAGCGAUUAAUCGGACAUUUUGCAUUCCAUAUCUUGCAUUAGUAGUCUAAAUUAGUUUAAUUUCAAUUUAGUACCAAUGUGGUGAAUUUUUAGAUUUUGUACUGUGUCAAGGUGGUGAAUCAUCCGAUAAAGGCAAGGAAAUUGCAUCCGAAGACCAGUAGACAAAGUACCUCAAAAGUCUACAUUCUAGACAUUGUGAGUAAACUUACUAUCAUUUUAAUUAUCUAGGGUGGUUUUUAGAUGAUUUCAUGAUUCUAUGGAAAAAUGGAUUUAAAAAAAGUAAAUUUUCAUGUUUUAUGAAUAAAUGUGUUUCAAUGAAAUUAAUUUAUAAAUUAUUUUGAAAUUAAUAAUGACUUUGAAAAAUAGAGUACACGGAGAUUGCUAAUUGUGGCAAUUUGAUUGUUUAAAUUGAUGGCUUAUGUUACAUUGUUAUUGUAUUGGCAUGACUGGUUGGGCUGUGUUUUAUGAAUUGUAUGAAUUGUUUUAUUUUACCCUUGCAGGUUGGGUAGUAAUAUAUUAGCCUUGUCAUGCUGUUAAAAUUUUAUUGUAUGGUGGGUUUAACCUGCUACAAGGGGCGGGUUUUCUGUGGACCAGCCUGUUAGAGGGGCACGGAAUCCUGAUAUAUUUUACCUCGGUUGGAGAGGCGAGUAGGGUAACUCCCGAUGUAUAACUUUUAGAGUUCACUUCACGCUAAACCACCACGUGAGGGGGAACUCAACCAACGCUAAGGAACCGCUAUGUUUUUAAAAUAAAAACAUGAUUUAUGCAUACAUAACUUUUUAAUAGCCUUGGCGGACUCAGUUGGGAUAGCCCUCUGUCAAGGUAUCCUUGAUAACUGAGUAUGAUAAUGAUUUUAG
rnacentral:lncRNA from 1 species